GACAGAGGUGCCAAGCGUUAGGCGGAAUCACUGGGCUUAAAGCGUGUGUAGGCGGGUCGUUAAGUACCUUGUGAAAUCCCACGGCUCAACCGUGGAACUGCUUGGUAUACUGGCGAUCUUGAGCCAGCUAGGGGCUACCGGAACAAACGGUGGAGCGGUGAAAUGCGUAGAUAUCAGGAAGAACACCCGUGGCGAAGGCGGCUCUCUGGGACGGUACUGACGCUGAGGCGCGAAAGCGUGGGGAGCGAACAGG
rnacentral:rRNA from 1 species